rnacentral:rRNA from 1 species
AGAGUUUGAUCCUGGCUCAGAACGAACGCUGGCGGCAGGCUUAACACAUGCAAGUCGAACGUGAAGCAGGAGCUUGCUCCUGUGGAAAGUGGCAGACGGGUGAGUAACGCGUGGGAAUUUACCCAGUGGUUCGGAAUAACUUCAGGAAACCGGAGCUAAUACCGAAUACGCCCUUCGGGGGAAAGAUUUAUCGCCAUUGGAUGAGCCCGCGUCGGAUUAGCCUGUUGGUGAGGUAAAAGCUCACCAAAGCGACGAUUCGUAGCUGGUCUGAGAGGAUGAUCAGCCACACUGGGACUGAGACACGGCCCAGACUCCUACGGGAGGCAGCAGUGGGGAAUAUUGCGCAAUGGAGGAAACUCUGACGCAGCCAUGCCGCGUGAGUGAAGAAGGCCUUAGGGUUGUAAAACUCUUUCGCUAGGGAAGAUAAUGACGGUACCUAGUAAAGAAGCCCCGGCCAACUCCGUGCCAGCAGCCGCGGUAAUACGGAGGGGGCUAGCGUUGUUCGGAUUUACUGGGCGUAAAGCGCGCGUAGGCGGGCUGGUCAGUUGGGGGUGAAAUCCCGAGGCUCAACCUCGGAACUGCCCUCAAUACUGCCAGUCUUGAGUUCGAGAGAGGUAAGUGGAAUUCCUAGUGUAGAGGUGAAAUUCGUAGAUAUUAGGAAGAACACCAGUGGCGAAGGCGGCUUACUGGCUCGAUACU